CACGUAGGCACCAAGCGUUGUCCGGAUUUAUUGGGCGUAAAGAGCUCGUAGGCGGUUGAGUAAGUCGGGUGUGAAAACUCUGGGCUUAACCCAGAGCCGCCACUCGAUACUGCUCUGACUUGAGUUCGGUAGGGGAGCAGGGAAUUCCUAGUGUAGCGGUGAAAUGCGCAGAUAUUAGGAGGAACACCGGUGGCGAAGGCGGCCUGCUGGGCAGUAGCUGACACUGAGGCGCGACAGCGUGGGGAGCAAACAGG
rnacentral:rRNA from 1 species